UACGGGGGGUGCAAGCGUUAUUCGGAAUCAUUGGGCGUAAAGGGCGCGUAGGCGGUUUGUUAAGUCAGAUGUGAAAGCCCGGGGCUCAACCCCGGAAGUGCAUUUGAUACUGGCGAACUUGAGUAUGGGAGAGGGAAGUGGAAUUCCUGGUGUAGAGGUGAAAUUCGUAGAUAUCAGGAGGAACACCGGUGGCGAAGGCGACUUCCUGGACCAAUACUGACGCUGAGGCGCGAAGGCGUGGGUAGCAAACAGG
rnacentral:rRNA from 1 species